CCGAUCUUGGGCUUCAAGCUUCAGAUUUCUGGAUUGCUUAGCACUCUUUACAUGUUUUUUAUUCACUUUUUAAAGACAUUUUAAUUAAUUUGGUGCUGACGAGGGAUUCCAGAUUGACAGCCUUGGAAACUGAGGUCAUUUGUUUGUCCACAAAACAGGUACCACCAAAGCAGCAGAACUGCCGGCUCCCCUAUCAAAGAGCCUUGGGCUCCCCUUUUAAAGCACCUCAACCGAGGCCAGAAAAAUCACCUUCUGCUCUGCCCUUUCUGGGGAGAAUUCAUUUUCCUAAUCAGGCCUCAACCCUGAUGCCAGGAUUGAUUAAAAAAAUGAGCAGGAGCUCACCCUGACCACAGUGCCACAAGAAUAUAUAUUAAAAUUUUGCUCGUUUUGCUGGUCACUCCUUUUUUACCACAAUAAAUGAUGUUUUGCUGUUGUUCUCCAAUGUUUUUUCCAUGAGGCCACAUGGCAUGGGCCCAGUCAGGCCCCAACAUGCUUCCCAAGGCCAGCUGUCCACCCCAGUAGAGACCAAGUGGUGGAUCUUCUCUCCCACUGGAGCAGCAGGGUACAUGGUCCAGUUGUGCUGUCCCAGGGCACAGGAGAUGAACAGCACUGCUACUUCUGUUGUGUUUUCAGUGUUCAUCUGACAGAGCAUGGGAGAAGAAGGAACCUUUCUGACAAGACUACAGAAGCCACGGUCACAGGAGUACUAAUGCAUCCAGAAAAGCUGCCUGUCAAGUUGGGCAAGCAAGGUUUAAUGCUAGCAGUACAAAAGGUGAGCAGCUGUGGUCACUCAGUUAUGGACAUGGAGGAAUGGACUCAUGGGGAGCUGAUGGUGUCCUUGCUCUCAGUCUGCUGGAGAGGGAGCUGCCAUGCAGACUUCAGCACCUGGAAAACAUCAGCAUCUGGACAAAGAACAGCCAGGCAGAGCCUGGCAGGACAGAGGAACUCUGCGGGGGAAUUUCUGCCUUGAAAAACUCAUCUUCAGAACAGAACAUACCCAUUCAUCUAUGGUAUCUGCCUUUAUAUCAUCAAGUAAGUCAGCAUGGCCAGUUCUUCUGGAUUCCUUGCUCUUCUGGAAUAGCCCCCAAAACAUGCAUACUAAUAACCCAAUUUCUUGGCUGUAGGAAUCUGGACACCUAAGCCUUGUUCAAUCAGAUUUUGAUUUCACUGUGGCAGUCAUUAUCUACAAGGUGGUGGUUUAUUGUAUUAUUUAUACCCAGAAACAAAUCUGGGAAUUGUUCUGAUUCAGUUCUGGUGAACUAUAAUGCAGCCAUUUGCUCACUUAACAGCACAGACAGGAUACCAAAAACCUUAUUUCUGUCCACCAUCUCUACAUCAGCUCUCUCACAUAUAAUAUAGCUG
rnacentral:lncRNA from 1 species